rnacentral:rRNA from 1 species
CUGGCGGCGUGCCUAACACAUGCAAGUCGAACGGGGAUUUGUUUCGGCAGAAUCCUAGUGGCGAACGGGUGAGUAACGCGUAGGCAACCUGCCCUCCGGCCGGGGGACAACACUCCGAAAGGGGUGCUAAUACCGGAUACGAAGUCUGUGCCGCAUGGUACGGAUUUGAAAGAUGGCCUCUAUUUAUAAGCUAUCGCCGGGGGAUGGGCCUGCGUCCGAUUAGCUGGUUGGUGGGGUAACGGCCUACCAAGGCGACGAUCGGUAGCCGGUCUGAGAGGAUGAACGGCCACAUUGGGACUGAGACACGGCCCAGACUCCUACGGGAGGCAGCAGUGGGGAAUCUUCCGCAAUGGGCGCAAGCCUGACGGAGCAACGCCGCGUGAGUGAGGAAGUUCUUCGGAACGUAAAGCUCUGUUGUUCCUGACGAACCUCCCCUCUAUCAACAACGGAGGGGACUGACGGUAGGGAACGAGGAAGCCACGGCUAACUACGUGCCAGCAGCAGC